CCUACGGGAGGCAGCAGUGAGGAAUAUUGGUCAAUGGACGAGAGUCUGAACCAGCCAAGUAGCGUGAAGGAUGACUGCCCUAUGGGUUGUAAACUUCUUUUAUAUGGGAAUAAAAUGUUCCACGUGUGGGAUUUUGUAUGUACCAUAUGAAUAAGGAUCGGCUAACUCCGUGCCAGCAGCCGCGGUAAUUCGGAGGAUCCGAGCGUUAUCCGGAUUUAUUGGGUUUAAAGGGAGCGUAGGUGGAUUGUUAAGUCAGUUGUGAAAGUUUGCGGCUCAACCGUAAAAUUGCAGUUGAAACUGGCAGUCUUGAGUACAGUAGAGGUGGGCGGAAUUCGUGGUGUAGCGGUGAAAUGCUUAGAUAUCACGAAGAACUCCGAUUGCGAAGGCAGUUCACUGGACUGCAACUGACACUGAGGCUCGAAAGUGUGGGUAUCAAACAGGAUUAGAUACCCGAGUAGUC
rnacentral:rRNA from 1 species